GACAGGCAGCGUGACUCCAGAAGAGAAGCUGCUGUCGGAGUUUCUGAGAGUGACUGAUGAACACCCUGCUGAUGCUGUGGUGACCCUCCUGCACUGUGCCCCAUCAUGUGACAGAGCUGCUGCCAUCAUGUGGAGGACCAUCACCUCAUCGGGAAGGACAGUGGUGAAGGUGCUGCCACAGCUGCUCUGUGUGAUGGAGGACUGGCACUGCACAGCACGUCCACCUCUGACGGGGACAAAACGGAUGUCUUUGCCCUGGCUGCAACCAGGGUGAUCUGGGAGACUCUGCAGAUGUUCCGGUUCCCAGAGUCAUGGAUAGAGUAUUCCCCCCGUCUCCUCGUGGCUCUGCUCUUCCAA